GACGAACGCUGGCGGCGUGCUUAACACAUGCAAGUCGAACGGAAAGGCCCUGCUUUUGUGGGGUGCUCGAGUGGCGAACGGGUGAGUAACACGUGAGUAACCUGCCCUUGACUUUGGGAUAACUUCAGGAAACUGGGGCUAAUACCGGAUAGGAGCUCCUGCUGCAUGGUGGGGGUUGGAAAGUUUCGGCGGUUGGGGAUGGACUCGCGGCUUAUCAGCUUGUUGGUGGGGUAGUGGCUUACCAAGGCUUUGACGGGUAGCCGGCCUGAGAGGGUGACCGGCCACAUUGGGACGGAGAUACGGCCCAGACUCCUACGGGAGGCAGCAGGGGGGAAUAUUGCACAAUGGGCGGAGGCCUGAUGCAGCAACGCCGCGUGCGGGAUGACGGCCUUCGGGUGGUAAACCGCUUUCGCCUGUAACGAAGCGUGAGGGACGGUAAUGGGAAAAGAAGCACCGGCUAACUACGU
rnacentral:rRNA from 1 species